rnacentral:rRNA from 1 species
GCUCAGUAACACGUGGAUAAUCUGCCCUAUGGUGGAGGAUAACCCCGGGAAACUGGGGAUAAUACUCCAUAAGUCAGGAGUACUGGAAUGUCUCCUAACUGAAAGUUUCGGCGCCAUAGGAUGAAUCUGCGGCCGAUUAGGUAGUUGUUGGGGUAACGGCCCAACAAGCCCGUAAUCGGUACGGGUUGUGGGAGCAAGAGCCCGGAGAUGGAAUCUGAGACACGAUUCCAGGCCCUACGGGGCGCAGCAGGCGCGAAAACUUUACAAUGCAGGAAACUGUGAUAAGGGAACCCCGAGUGCCCGUACACGCGGGCUGUCCCGGUGUUUAAAACACAUCGGAAGAAAGGGCCGGGCAAGACCGGUGCCAGCCGCCGCGGUAAUACCGGCGGCUCGAGUGGUGACCACUUUUAUUGGGCUUAAAGCGUUCGUAGCUUGAUUUUUAAGUCUCUUGGGAAAUCUCACGGCUUAACUGUGAGGCGUCUAAGAGAUACUGGGAAUCUAGGGACCGGGAGAGGUAAGAGGUACUUCAGGGGUAGAAGUGAAAUUCUGUAAUCCUUGAGGGACCACCGAUGGCGAAGGCAUCUUACCAGAACGGCUUCGACAGUGAGGAACGAAAGCUGGGGGAGCGAACGGGAUUAGAUACCCCGGUAGUCCCAGCCGUAAACUAUGCGCGUUAGGUGUGCCUGUAACUACGAGUUACCGGGGUGCCGAAGUGAAAACGUGAAACGUGCCGCCUGGGAAGUACGGUCGCAAGGCUGAAACUUAAAGGAAUUGGCGGGGGAGCACCACAACGGGUGGAGCCUGCGGUUUAAUUGGACUCAACGCCGGGCAGCUCACCGGAUAGGACAGCGGAAUGAUAGCCGGGCUGAAGACCUUGCUUGACCAGCUGAGAGGAGGUGCAUGGCCGUCGUCAGUUCGUACUGUGAAGCAUCCUGUUUAGUCAGGCAACGAGCGAGACCCACGCCAACAGUUGCUAGCAUGUUCUCCGGAAUGAUGAGGACACUGUUGGGACCGCCUCUGCUAAAGAGGAGGAAGGAGUGGACGACGGUA